UGAAGCGCCUGGAUGCGGUGCAGGACCUCGAAACUCUGGAGGUUCUGGCGGCGUUCGGCGGCGUGCCGGCUGCGUUCGAGCCGCAGCGUCUCGC
rnacentral:tRNA from 1 species